GCCUGAUCAGUGCAUAUACAGGACUAAGUAAAAGUUGUCAAAAGCUAUAUACACAUUGAAAGGCCACACAAUUAAUCAAGCAUUGUUGUGGCUAAUAUUUUGCAAAAUGCAUUAUGAGCAAAACGCAUUAUGAGUCAAUGAAUUAAAUGUGUUGUUGUUCUUAUGUGAGUCUAUUGUUCGAUAUCUUGCUGGUAUCAAACCAAUUUUCUGGGCCUGAAUAUGUUUGGAGUAAAACAUGGGAACACCUCAGUGAUGGUGUCCUUUAUCGGCAACGAAUGAUAUUACGUGUACAAGAUUUAGUGUUAGAUGAAGAUCAGUUGAAGAGUUAUGCACUUGAGUGAAGACAUGAAUGAAGAUUAUCCUACAAUGCCUAGGAGUGAUGUUUCAUUGAUCAACGAGUCCCAUAAUAGGUUGAUAUUUGAUGAAAUGAACUAUAAUUGUAGAUUACAUCUCAUGCUAUAUAGGUACUUACAUGUGGGAAGAAAAUAUCCAUGCUACCACACGUUAUGUGCAAGUGAUUGUUGCUUAUAAAGAAUGUUACUGCUGAUUAGCUAAGAAUGUUAUUAAUUGCAGGUGAAACAUCAAUUGCAGAAUGGUAGUGACAACAGGUUAUGGUACAUUAAGAAAUAAGAAACGCGUUAGUUUACUCACUGAGACUUUGGUUAAUUUAACAUAUGUAUCAAUCAGUGGCAUAAGAAAACUUAUAGGAGUAACUAGCAUUUAUAUAAUAUAUAUUUUUUAUCACCACCAGGAGGUUUGUUCAAUAGGGAGAUCGUCCUUUUUUGAAGUAAA